CCUACGGGUGGCAGCAGUCGAGAAUCAUUCACAAUGGGGGAAACCCUGAUGGUGCGACGCCGCGUGGGGGAAUGAAGGUCUUCGGACUGUAAACCCCUGUCAUGUGGGAGCAAAUUAAAAAGAUAGUACCACAAGAGGAAGAGACGGCUAACUCUGUGCCAGCAGCCGAGGUAAUACAGAGGUCUCAAGCGUUGUUCGGAAUCACUUGGCGUAAAGCGUGCGUAGGCUGUUUCGUAAGUCGUGUGUGAAAGGCGCGGGCUCAACCCGCGGACUGCACAUGAUACUGCGAGACUAGAGUAAUGGAGGGGGAACCAGAAUGCUCGGUGUAGCAGUGAAAUGCGUAGAGAUCGAGAGGAACAUUCGUGGCGAAGGCGGGUUCCUGGACAUUAACUGACGCUGAGGCACGAAGGCCAGGGGAGCGAAAGGGAUUAGAUACCCGAGUAGUC
rnacentral:rRNA from 1 species